rnacentral:rRNA from 1 species
UACGCUACUAGGCUUACAACGCAGUUGACGGGUAGCAGGUAGCAUAGCGCUGACGACCGGCGCCGGGUGGAUGACACGUAUCCAAUCUUCCCAUAACUCUGGGAUAGCCUUUCGAAACGAAAGAUUAAUACCGGAGGGUACUUUUUCAAGAGCAUCUUGGAGAAAGUUAAAGAUAUAGUUGGUUGAUCGGAUGCGGGAUGCGUUCCAUUAGAUACUUGGUGACGGUAACGGCUCACCAAGUCUUCGAUGGAUAGGGGUUCUGAGAGGAAGGUCCCCCACAUUGGUACUGAGACACGGACCAAACUCCUACGGGAGGCAGCAGUGACGGAAUAUUGGUCAACUGGGCGACGAGCCUGAACCAGCCAAGUAGCGUGAAGGAUGAAGGUCCUAUGGAUAGUAAACUUCUUUUAUAGUAGAAUAAAGUGAUCCACGUGUGGAUUAUUGUAUGUAUACUAUGAAUAAGGAUCGGCUAACUCCGUGCCAGCAGCCGCGGUAAUACGGAGGAUCCGAGCGUUAUCCGGAUUUAUUGGGUUUAAAAGGGUGCGUAGGCGGAAUAAUAAGUCAGUUGUGAACAGUUGCGGCUCAACCGUAAAAUAGCAGCUGAUACUGUUAUCCUUGACUGUUCAUAAGGUACGCGGAAUACGUGGUGUAGCGGUGAAAUGUUAGAUAUACGACGAACCCACUUGCGAAGG